GAAACCAACAGGGAUUGCCCUAGUAACGGCGAGUGAAGCGGCAACAGCUCAAAUUUGAAAUCUGGCUCUUUCAGGGUCCGAGUUGUAAUUUGUAGAGGGUGCUUUGGAGUUGACUGUGGUCUAAGUUCCUUGGAACAGGACGUCGCAGAGGGUGAGAAUCCCGUAUGUGGCCGCCAGUCUUCGCCGUGUAAAGCCCCUUCGACGAGUCGAGUUGUUUGGGAAUGCAGCUCUAAAUGGGAGGUAAAUUUCUUCUAAAGCUAAAUAUUGGCCAGAGACCGAUAGCGCACAAGUAGAGUGAUCGAAAGAUGAAAAGCACUUUGGAAAGAGAGUCAAAAAGCACGUGAAAUUGUUGAAAGGGAAGCGCUUGCAGCCAGACUUGCCUGUAGUUGCUCAUCCGGGCUUUUGCCCGGUGCACUCUUCUAUAGGCAGGCCAGCAUCAGUCCCGGCGGUUGGAUAAAUGCCUGUUGAAUGUACCUCUCCUCGGGGAGGACUUAUAGCUUCGGGCGGCAUACAACCAGCUGGGAUUGAGGUCCGCGCAUCUGCUAGGAUGCUGGCGUAAUGGCUGUAAGCGGCCCGUCUUGAAACACGGACCAAGGAGUCUAACAUCUAUGCGAGUGUUUGGGUGUCAAGCCCGAGCGCGUAAUGAAAGUGAACGGAGGUGGGAACCCCUCGGGGUGCACCAUCGACCGAUCCUGAUGUCUUCGGAUGGAUUUGAGUAAGAGCAUAGCUGUUGGGACCCGAAAGAUGGUGAACUAUGCCUGAAUAGGGUGAAGCCAGAGGAAACUCUGGUGGAGGCUCGCAGCGGUUCUGACGUGCAAAUCGAUCGUCAAAUUUGGGCAUAGGGGCGAAAGACUAAUCGAACUAUCUAGUAGCUGG
rnacentral:rRNA from 1 species